GGAGCCUGGGCGGUGGGGGCGGGGCCGGCGGGGCAGCGAGCCCCCCGCCCUCCACCACCGCUCCCGCACCUGCGGCUGCACCGUGAGCCCCGAACCCGGGUGCUGCGGCUCCCCGCGCCCGCCGCCAGCCCGCCCCGUCGCGCCGCAGCCCUCCCAGCCGCCCUCCCAGCCGCCCCUCGCCACUGCCCUCUGCUGCUGAUGGCGCCCCUGGGCCCCGGGCCACGUCCUCCCCCACCCGCGAAACCCGUAAACCAGUCAGCACUCCACACACACACCGCCCCCUCCCCCCGCAAGGCCUCGGCCUGCGCCCGGGUCCCGACGCCAGCGACCAGCCUCAGCGUUCGCAGGGGGCUGGGGUGGGAGGUUAGAAGGGGCAAGCGCAGGUCGCCGGACCACGCCGCGGAGGUGGAUGGGGCGGAGGGAGUUGGUCCCCUCGGUCCGCCCCGCAGGUGGAGGGCUCCGGGGAGGCCUGGAGCCCCUGGCCACUGAGUAACGGGAUGUGAAGAAAGGGAGAAGAGGCAGGCUCUUUUCCCCCCCACACCCCACCCCACCCCAACCAAGUCACUGCAGGGUGUGGGGCUCAGACCAGGGGUGCUUGGCAGGCCGGCCCGGCUGAGGUAGGCCAAGGUUAAGGCCAGGGAAGAGGGCACGAGGCUUCCCCGCGGGGCUGCUUCACGUGGUGGCCACAGACCCGCAGACCGGCCAAAACCCAGCUCUGUCCCAGAGUUGGGUCAGCUACCCGGGCGACAGGAGGAUUCAGCCUCUGGUCCCAGGCUGCGACAGGAGGGGGCUUUGGGGGUUUUCUGUUUGUUUGGUUUUUCUUUAGGGGGAAAGACAGUCGGCAUGAACUGCCCUGCAGUGCCCAGGUCCCUCUAAACAGCAGCUGCACCCAGUCCGCUCAUCCCCAGCAGGCCUGGCCCUUUGGAGAAGAAGAUGGGACCAGAUGAGCUGACCGUCUUGUGGGCCAGCCAAAGCCUGGGGACUGGCUGUGUCACCAGAGGUGUCAUUUCCCAGCUGUCUGGGGAAGACUGAGAUGAUGGAGGUUUCUACAUUCACCUGCGUUUGAUAGCCAGAUCUCUGGGCCCCACUCCCAAGGCUCAUUCAAAAGAGGUUGGGGGGGGGGGGGGCAAGUUCAUUUCUAACAAGCACCUAUGGUGAUUCUGAUGUAGGCGGCACAGAGAAAAACUUUAAUAAAGGCUUUCUUUUAUUGCGGUUUC